rnacentral:lncRNA from 1 species
GCCGCUAACAAAGGGUAGAUACCCAGACAUCAUGAGGCAGAUUGUGGGUAGUAGGCUUCCCAACUUUACCGAGGAAGAAGCCGCACUCGUUGCCGGUUCAUAUGAUUUUCUUGGUCUCAACUAUUACGUCACUCAGUACGCCCAGCCAAAACCUAACCCAUAUCCUUCAGAGACACACACUGCCAUGAUGGACGCUGGCGUAAAGCUCACAUGUACUAGUCUAUUACCACUAAUUAGAUACAGCCUUUCUAUACAUAUAAAUAUUCUUUUAUCUCCUUUUUGUUGCAACAUACUUUGUGAGUGACCAUCUGUUAUUUCAUCCUUGUGUUUACAGAUGAUAACUCACGUGGUGAAUUUCUUGGUCCACUGGUAUAUAUCAAUGAUCCACCCCCUAAGAUUUGUUUUUCUUUCAUUUUUUCAGUUUUCAGUAUAACAACCCUAAUUAUGUUUUUUAAUUGAUGUGUAUAUUUAUUUACUUCCAUUUUCACAGUUCGUUGAAGACAAGGUAAACGGCAACAGCUAUUACUACCCAAAAGGCAUUUACUACGUAAUGGACUACUUCAAAACCAAAUACGGAGACCCUUUAAUCUAUGUCACCGAGAACGGUGAGUUUUACGAACUCUUUUCAUUUAUACCACAUAAUAAUUAUUGUAUUUUGAUAUUAGUCGAAGAAACUGACUUUAUUGUGGAAUAUUUUUAAUGUGGCGGUUUAUUUAGGAUUUAGUACCCCCAGUGAAGAAAACCGUGAGCAGGCUAUUGCCGAUUACAAGCGAAUUGAUUAUCUCUGCAGUCAUUUAUGUUUUCUCCGCAAGGUCAUCAAGUGAGUGGAUACUACUAUAAAUGAUUUUCUUCUUAUGUUAUUUCUUCUUCUUUUUUGCUAACAUUUAUAUAUGAUUGUUCUUGUUUUCAGGGAGAAGGGUGUCAACGUGAGAGGAUACUUCGCAUGGGCUCUUGGAGACAAUUAUGAAUUCUGUAAAGGCUUUACCGUCAGAUUUGGACUCAGUUACGUUAAUUGGGAAGAUCUUGACGAUAGAAACCUCAAAGAAUCUGGCAAAUGGUACCAGAGAUUCAUCAACGGGACCGUCAAGAACGCUGUGAAACAAGAUUUCCUCCGCUCAAGCCUCUCUUCCCAGAGUCAGAAGAAGAGGUUCGCUGAUGCAUGAAACACUUUUUCCCCCGGUCAAGAUCAUCUCCAUGUCUCUCACUCUUUCUAGUUGCUCCAAAGAUAAGGAGCUUCUUCUACCUAUAAUAAUGUACUAAAUAAAUAUUCUCAAUAAAAAGAUGAUCAGUUACUAAUGAAUUAAAAAAUUGUCUACAUCUACAUUUUGUCAAGAUGAUCGAGAGAGAGAGUGAAAUAACACAAUUUAAACCAAAAACGUCACUUAGACACACAUAGAAAAUAAAUAAAUAAUUACCCCAAACCGCAAACUAGUUUUGUGUAAUAAAUAUAUAAACAUCAAACCGAUCAGCUUAAAUUCACUAAUUAACUUAAUAAGUUCAACUUUAUAUACUAGAAUAGAUUUUCAACAUAAUAAACAAUGACCAAACCUUAUACAAACUCAAAUCUAGCUACACCAAAGUUCUAUCAUCCUCAACUGAAACUUAAUAGUAUUUUACAUAUGAUUUUCCUAUCAUUCAAAUCCAAAAAGGGAAGAUUGGACCUGUGAUGAUAACAAGAUGGUUUCUUCCAUUUGAUGAGUCUGAUCCUGCCUCCAUAGAAGCAGCUGAGAGGAUGAACCAAUUCUUUCAUGGAUGGUAUAUAUAUAUAUUACAGAACAAUGUAACAGUAUAUAGUGUAUGUAUGUAUAAUUAAAAGAUAUACAUGGAUCAGGUACAUGGAGCCGCUAACAAAGGGUAGAUACCCAGACAUCAUGAGGCAGAUUGUGGGUAGUAGGCUUCCCAACUUUACCGAGGAAGAAGCCGCACUCGUUGCCGGUUCAUAUGAUUUUCUUGGUCUCAACUAUUACGUCACUCAGUACGCCCAGCCAAAACCUAACCCAUAUCCUUCAGAGACACACACUGCCAUGAUGGACGCUGGCGUAAAGCUCACAUGUACUAGUCUAUUACCACUAAUUAGAUACAGCCUUUCUAUACAUAUAAAUAUUCUUUUAUCUCCUUUUUGUUGCAACGUACUUU